CCUGUUUAACAAAAACAUGUCUUUUUGAGUUAUUUUUAAAGUCUGACCUGCCCACUGAAAUUAUUUAAAUGGCCGCAGUAUUCUAACUGUGCAAAGGUAGCAUAAUCAUUAGUCUUUUAAUUGAAGGCUGGUAUGAACGGUUGGACGAGGUAUAAGCUGUUUCAUGUAAAUUUAUAAUAGAAUUUUAUAUUUUAGUUAAAAAGCUAAAAUUUAAUUAAAAGACGAGAAGACCCUAUAAAUCUUUAUAUUUUAUGUUGUUUAAGUUUUUUAGAUUUGGUUUAUUUUUAUAAUUUAAAAUAUUUUGUUGGGGUGAUAUUAAAAUUUAAUGAACUUUUAAUUAUUUAAAGCCAUUAAUUUAUGAGUUAUUGAUCCAUUAAUAGUGAUUAUAAGAUUAAGUUACUUUAGGGAUAACAGCGUAAUUUUUUUGGAGAGUUCAUAUCGAUAAAAAAGUUUGCGACCUCGAUGUUGGAUUAAGAUAUAUUUUUAGGUGUAGCCGCUUAAAU
rnacentral:rRNA from 1 species